UGCUGCCGUCCUGGAAUGGGUGCUUUUUCUCCAAGUCUUUUAGGACUGGUUUAAAGGACGCUUGCUAGCAGUGAUGAGCAGCCAGCUUCCAGCUGUAUAAACAGAAAUUAUUAGAAUGCAUGCUAUGAAUGCUUCAUCUCUGCAUCUGUGGCUGAACUUCUACAGCUCUUUAAAAUGUCGUCACAACUAGAACUGUUCCCUGAAGACUGUGCCAGUCUACCUGUACUCUCCAGAAUGGCAAUUCCCAUAUCAGUCAGACUGGACUAAAAAAUCUUCAUAUGAAUAACAAUUCAGCCUAGCAUUUCUAUAAACUUCAUUUAGCUAAACAGAAGUGUUUGUGUCAGUGUUUCUGCUCCAGGAAUGUGUCUCUCUCUUAUUUUUUUCCUCUGCCUUUCAAGUAUUCAUUGGUUAAGAAAUCUGACUUGCCUUCACUUAAACAUUAGAUGACUUAAAAGGAGAAUUUUGUUUGUUUGUUUCUCUGUUUUUUAAAGAAUGACGAACCCUGCAAAACUGUGAGUGCAAAAUCCAGUACUCUCCUCACUACUGAUUUUCUUGAGGAUUCUUUGGUUCCACUGUUGACAAUUGCAUUGAGGCUUCAAAUGAUGGAAUAAAUAGUCAAAAGCCAACAGCACAGAAAAUGGCUAAGGUCUGUUUCUCAUCUGCCUUCUCUGAUGAGAGCUAGAGAAGGUUCAGAGCAGUAGUGAUUGUCAAAGGUUCUGACCAGCUUCUCUGUAACAGCAGAUAGAUAUUGGACUUUUUUUUUUCCUUUGCCACUAAGAAAGGAUGGAUGAAAGUCUUAUGCUACAGGCCAUGAGAA